GCCGGGGUGGCGGAACAGGCAGACGCGUCGGUCUCAAAAACCGAUGCCGUAUCCAAUCGGCAUGAGGGUUCGAUCCCCUCCUCCGGCA
rnacentral:tRNA from 1 species